rnacentral:rRNA from 1 species
UACGUAGGGGGCAAGCGUUGUCCGGAAUUACUGGGCGUAAAGCGCGCGCAGGCGGUCAUCUACGUCUGGGGUGAAAGCCCGGAGCUCAACUCCGGGAUUGCCUUGGAUACGGGAUGACUUGAGGAUCGGAGAGGCAAGGGGAAUUCCACGUGUAGCGGUGAAAUGCGUAGAGAUGUGGAGGAACACCUGUGGCGAAGGCGCCUUGCUGGCCGAUUUCUGACGCUGAGGCGCGAAAGCGUGGGGAGCAAACAGG